GUGCCAGCCGCCGCGGUAAUACCGGCAGCCCGAGUGAUGGCCGAUCUUAUUGGGCCUAAAGCGUCCGUAGCUGGCCGACCAAGUCUCCCGGGAAAUCCACCCGCCCAACGGGUGGGCGUCCGGUAGAAACUGGCCGGCUUGGAACCGGAAGGCUCAGAGAGUACGUCCGGGGUAGGAGUGAAAUCCCGUAAUCCCGGACGGACUACCGAUGGCGAAAGCACGUCAGGAAGACGGAUCCGACGGUGAGGGACGAAAGCCAGGGUCUCCAACCGGAUUAGAAACCCCGGUAGUCC
rnacentral:rRNA from 1 species